rnacentral:lncRNA from 1 species
UAGAACCUGAGGCCACAACUGUCAGCUAUUCCUUUGACAUUACUGUAUUUCCAUGGUGACUUGUGGGCCCGUAUUUCAUUUGUGACCUUUUUCAAUCACCUCGUAAGUGCCCAAGGAAUGAUUGAUGCGUCUGUUCCGAGCUGUCAAUUUGUGGACGUUUGUGUAGUUUUAUCAUGAAUAGCGUCAUAUCUUGUGAAUACAGUCAGGCGAAAUAAGUGAAGUGUAAACUACAGUUGCUUCAUUAUGGUUUUGUGUGAAAGAAGCUUAAAUCUGGUCUUGUACAAUGGCCCCUCCUGGAAAUACAUUUUCUAGGUGGUGUUCCUUAAUUUGAACUGCUACUCUUGCAGUUCCAGGUCUUUAUCUUUAAUCAUGCCCAUUUGCCAGGAAGAUUAUAUGUCAUGGUUGAACCCCUUUGGAAGGGUGGUAGGAAAAAUAAAUUACUCGUAAUCACGGAUAUCAUAACGCUGGAACUGUCCAUUGGAAUCGUUCUUUGAUCAUCAUCAUUUUUUCUGCGUUGCUUCCAUGUAUUUUCUCGAGCACGGUUGUUUGUAGUUCGACUAAAAAAACAUGUUUGUAGCGAGUUACUAUAUAUAUCUCAUGAAAAUAUUCCUUUCGUGUUGUUUUCUCCAAAUCGUGCCGGGAAUUCAUCAUCUGCUAAAUCAUCUGGCGAAUACAGUAAAUGCUAACAACCUCUGUGCCCCUCUUCUAGCACUAGGGUUAGCACUAGGGGAAACCCUAGGUCCGGUUCCUCGGAUUAGAUGAUGGCGGCACCAUAGUAUCGUUCCCCUUCUUGAAGGCGCCAUCUUGUUGUGUCCCUGGUGUUGGUUUUUGGAGAUGUUGGACCGUCUUGUUGGCUUGUGGUGUACCCGGUGUUUCUCAUUUCAGAUUAAGUAAAGGGAUUACCCAGCUAGCGCAUAUUUAAGAGUUGGAGACUUCCUGCCACUAUAGAAAAAGCCGUUGAUGGAUCAAUUUCUGUAGGUGGGUCUCAACUCAGAUCGAGACACUCGGAUUUGCUGAACUCCAAUAAUAGAACCUGGUCCCACAUCCCUUGCACUUGAUAAUGAAACAAUCAUAAUUUGUUGAAUUGAAAUAUGUUCAAUCUCAUUUCUUUUACGUGGUUUUGGCAACUAUCAAUUAUCUCUUUCCUCGGCUUCCUACACGGAUAUAGCCGUAAACGGUAUCUAGUAGGCAACCUGGGAACUACAUUAGCUUAGGGGAUCGGGUGGCGAGCGCUCUCCUCGGCAAAGCAGACAAGAAGCAAUUCCACCAUUGGGAAGGGCACGCCCCCUUCCCUAGGGCUAGAGGGAUUUACACGCUGCAUUGAAUCUAACGCUAGAGCGAGUACUACGAUGAAAAUCACUUUUACAAGCGAUACCUUUGUCUUUGGUGCUUGAGUUGUCCUCCCAGCGGUUGGAGAUGUUGGACGUCACAUUUGUUCGGGUUGUCACUCAAGGCGUGGUUUUUCAGGGCGCAAUGCACGACUUCCAUGGUGCUUCCCCCAUGUCUUUUGCCUCUGACUAGGUCAGGUCCUGCUGCCCACUUCCCGAUCUCCCCGCACUCUUGGUGGGGGUACGUUGAUCCGAUCGAGUCUGGAUCAGUGGAUGCGUGAUGGACGUUCUCGUGAGAUCGUGACGCGGUCUGGGUUUCUUGUGUCCCACCUCCUCGUCUUUCAUGGCUGGAGGCCGGGUCAAGGGGGGUUUACCUGUGUUAUUUCCUUGUUUGGGCCGAGCAUUCCAUGUCUUUCUGCUCCGAGCACCAUGUUCAUGCCCUCUUGCGUUCGUGUCAGGGGUUGUACCUUCUCUUGUUUUGAUUCUUUUUCUUCUAUCAUUGAAAUGAUACGCAAGCUUUGCGUAUUCAUAAAAAAAUAAAAAUAAAAGAUGUUUAGUUUAGUGUAAAAAAAAGGUCUGGUAUUUUGGUACAUAGUAGCACUCCCUCCAUUCCACAAUGUAGUGCAUAUAGGUUUUAAAAAAAGAUCAAACUCUACAAAUUUUGACCAAGCUUGUAGAGAAAAAUAUACACAUCUAGAAUAGCAAAUACAUAUCAUUAGACGUAUUUUCAUAUCAUAUAAAUUUGAUAUUGUAGAUAUAAUUAGUUUUCUCUAGAAACUUGGUCAAAAUUUGUAAAGUUUAACUAUUGAAAAUAUUUAUAUGCACUACAUUAUGGAAAGUUUUUUUUCAUGACGACGCCGAGUUGUUUCUGUGUAUUUUCUCGAGCACAGUAUGUACACAAGACAUUUUGUCUCAUGAAACCAUUUCUUCAUGUGAAAGAAACAUGUGGCACUGACCCUCAAAAAAAAAAAAGAAACAUGUGGCACAGACAGUGUUGUUGUAGCAAAUAGUAAACACGUUUGUUUCCUCCAAAACGUGUCACAAGUUCGCCAUCCGUUUCAUCGGGUCAUGC